GUUUACCAAAAACAUGGCUUCUUGCAACAUAAAAAUAAAAAGUCUUACCUGCCCAAUGAAGUAAUUUAAAUGGCCGCAGUACCCUGACUGUGCGAAGGUAGCAUAAUAAUUUGCCUUAUAAUUGAAGGCUGGAAUGAAUGGUUUGACAAGGAUAAAACUGUCUCUAUAAGAUUUACUAAAAUUUUAUUUAUAAGUGAAAAAGCUUAUAUUUUAUUAAAAGACAAGAAGACCCUAUCGAGCUUUUAAAAAAUAACAUGAAAUAAUUUUUAUCCUAUGAAAAUUAGGUCAUUUAAAAUUUUGGUUGGGGCAACCUAGGAACAUAUAAAACUUCCUAUCUAACUAAAACCAUUAAGUUAUGAUCCAAAAUUUUUGAUUAAAAGAAAUAGUUACCGUAGGGAUAACAGCAUUAUUUUUUUUGAGAGUUCAUAUCGAAAAAAAAGUUUGUGACCUCGAUGUUGGAUCAAAAUGUCCUAAAAAUGUAGAAGUUUUUAAGGGUUAGUCUGUUCGACUAUUAAAAUUUUACGUGAUCUGAGUUCAGACCGG
rnacentral:rRNA from 1 species